rnacentral:misc_RNA from 1 species
CAACCGUUACCAUAACAAAUCUCUCAUUGAUGAAUUCAACUGAGAGAAUAUCGCAGACAGGAAAAGAAAGCCAUAUAACAGACGUUUCAGAGGAUGGGCGACAAGUGGCACUGGUUACAGAACAUUCACAGAACGGAAAAAAGAAGGCACUCCAUCCCAUAGCUGAUGAUGGACAGCUGCGGAGACAAGAAAGUACCGACAGGCGCGUCCGAGGGACAUGAAAAGGAUCCAGCGUGGCAGGGGAGCACACUGGGGAUAAUAUAACACUGAACUUUACAAAUAAUUAUUAUUUUGGCGGUAGUGGAGAAAACGUCAGCACGAAGAAGAUCACUCAAUCGGCAACUGGAACACAGACUGACAACAAUAUCUUUAAAUCAGCGCAGGAUACAUCUAUGAGUGGAGGGAAAUCACGAGUUCGGCUUGACAACGUAAGUGAAAAGGUCCAAGAUCAGUUCCAACAACGCAGACAACAAGCUGCAACAGAAGUUGCUACAGACGUUGCUACAGACCAUGCUACAGAAAUUGCUACAGACCAUGCUAAAGAAUCUGACAAUGACGGAGAACAUCACGUCGCGAGCAGCAUGCAUCCGCAUAACCAGGAAAUCCAACUUUCCAAACAGCUCAAGGAGCGCACCACUCCACAUGAGAAUAGGCACUUCCAGGAAGUUGGAGACAGCAACAUAACAAGGGAUGCCCCGAACGGAGGCUGGACUGCCUCCAAGCAGGGAGCAGAGAAAGUGGAGAUGCAGUUACUGCACAAGCACCUGCUGGAUCAGAUAGAUCAGAGAGACCAAGCCAUUGUUAUGGAACUUUUAGACAGCGUCAUAUAUCAUGCAAAGAAACAGCCCAGGGAACUGCAAACGCUGAUACCGUUGCUGAGGAAGAUGUCACGUGAUAUAGCACCUGGUGUCCCUGUCCAGCAUAACCAGGUAGUUAUUUCUACAAAGGUGACGUCGUGCAGAUGAUCAUUUUUUUAGGAAUUAACUUGUAGACAUAUGGCCCGUGUUGAGAAACUUCCACCUUAAUUACCAGCUGAUGACACUCACUGUUGUGGUAAAAUCCAGAUGGCUGUAUCUGACUACUGUUGAGUUAGAGACUCUCCGAAUCCUUGUAUCUACCUGUGGAAGUGAGUUAAAGACUCUCGGAAGGGCUCUAUAUAACUAUGAUGAGUUAUAGUACAUCCCUGGUGAAGGCAUCUGAGAAGUGUGUUCUGGUACGUUACUUAGUCUUGUGUGAUAGGUAUUUAACAGCUCUGAUGUUGCAUCGUUGCCAUGAUGAUCCGAGAUACAACAUCGAUGCUGUAUUUGAUUGCCGUGGUGAAUAACAGUCCUUGAAAAAAUCCCA